CUCCGCCUCCUGCGAGAUCCAUCA
rnacentral:siRNA from 1 species